GCCGCCUUCUGGGGCGCUGCCGGAGCUACUGCUGUGCUGGGAUGACGAUUCCUCCUGUUUGCUGUAGUACCCAGAUCGCACAUAUGGCUUGCGCCUGUCGGCAUUCACAGAACGGCCGUGCCUGCCGCCGCCGUCUUGCCCGGUGCCGGCCUCGUGCUGGGUGCUGGUGGCGGCCCAGCCUUUGUGCUGCUGCUGCUGCUGCCCCCCACGGCGAUGGGGCGCCGAUGAAACGGGUUCGUGCUGGGGCUCUGGGUCCACUGGCGCCGGGUCGGCGGCGGCUGGCGCUGCCGCUGCCGACGAGGCUCUCGGGUAGGGUUCUUCUCCGGCCCUUUUCUCUCUUCUCUCCGCAUGCCUUCUUGCAGUUCUUGAUUCUGC
rnacentral:lncRNA from 1 species